UACAGAGGGUGCAAGCGUUGUUCGGAAUUAUUGGGCGUAAAGCGCGUGUAGGCGGCUUUGCAAGUCGGGUGUGAAAGCCCUCAGCUUAACUGAGGAAGUGCGCCCGAAACUGCAGAGCUUGAAUACCGGAGAGGAUGGCGGAAUUCCCCAAGUAGAGGUGAAAUUCGUAGAUAUGGGGAGGAACACCGGUGGCGAAGGCGGCUCACUGGGCCGGUCCUGACGCUCAGGCGCGAAAGCGUGGGGAGCGAUCCGG
rnacentral:rRNA from 1 species